rnacentral:rRNA from 1 species
AAAUAUAAAUUUACUUAAUUUUGUAUUGUUUAUAUUUUAUUAGAAAUAACUUCUUUUUUAGUAAAUUUUAUUGAAUAAAUAUUUUUAGUGAUAGUUCAUUGUACUGUAAUGGAUAAAUUUUAUUUUAUUAGAAGGAGAUUUAAUUUAUUGUACCUUUUGUAUCAGGGAUAAUUAAAUAUUUUUAUAUAUAUAGAUUUCCCGAAAUUAGGGGAGAUAUUAUUAUAUGUUAGUUAAUGUGUCAUAAUUAUUAAUAAUAUAAUAAUAGUAAUGAAAAGUUAUUCGUUCCUAAAUAUCUGGUUUUCCAGGAAUUGAAUUGAAUUCAGGGUUAUAUAUUCAUUAUUUUAAUUUAAUUUAUUAUUGAUUGUUUAUAAUCUAAUUAUUUCGGGGAUAAGCUCGGGAUUUUAUUUAUAAUUAAGUUAAUUGCGUUAGUUUUUGUAGGCUUGGAAUCAGCCAUCUUUAAUUUCGUUAUAGAUUAUUCUUUUGUAUAUUUUAUUUUAUAUAAUUUAAUUUUAUACUGGAAUUUAAAAUUAAAUAUAAUAGUUUUAGUAAAAAUGAUUAUAUUAGUAUAUUUGAUAUUUGAAUUAUAGGAAUUCGGCAAAAAUUGUGUUCGCCUGUUUAACAAAAACAUGUCCUUUUGUUUAUUUAUUUAAGGUCUAACCUGCCCAAUGAGGAGUUUAAUGGCCGCGGUAUAUUAACCGUGCUAAGGUAGCAUAAUCAUUUGUCUUUUAAUUAAGGGCUUGUAUGAAUGGUUGGACGAGGCACAUGCUUUCUUUAUUUCAUUUUUAGAAUUUAUCUUUUUAGUUAAAAGACUAAAAUGUAUCUGUGGGACGAGAAGACCCUAUAGAUCUUCAUAUAAUUAAAGUAUUGAAUUUUUUAGUUAAUUUAGAAUUUAAUAUUGAAUUAUAUUUAAUUGGGGUGAUUGCGGAGAUUUCAAAACUUCUGUUUAAUUUUUUCAUUAAUGAGUGUAUUAAUGAUCCAUUAGUAAUGAUUAUAAGAUUAAGUUACCUUAGGGAUAACAGCGUAAUUUUUUCGGAGAGUUCAUAUCGAUGAAGGAGUUUGCGACCUCGAUGUUGGAUUAAAAUUAGUAUUAGGUGCAGCAAUUUAAUAACUAGGUCUGUUCGACCUUUAAUUUUUUACAUGAUCUGAGUUCAGACCGGCGUAAGCCAGGUCAGUUUCUAUCUUCAGUUUUUUAUUAUGUUUUAGUACGAAAGGACCAAAUAUAAGGAAUAAUUUUUUUAAUGUGAUUAAUAUU